CUCAACUCAGGUAAAUCGCCUAAGUUGAGGGUUGUUAUUAUAGGGGUGCAUAGUAAAAAACAUGUAUGAAGAAAAAGGUGUAAAAGAAAGAUGAUUAAAAUAGGACAAGUGUGGGUAAAAUAAAAGAAAAAAAAGAAAAGAAAGAAAAAAAAUAUAUAUUGCACGAGAAGAAAAGAAAGUGAGAAUAGAAAAUUGCACCUGGACGAUAAAAUGUGCUUAAAAUAAAAAGGGAGACAUAAGGGCACAAAUAAAAUGAGAAAAAGCAGAAAAUAAGAGAACCCCGAAU
rnacentral:lncRNA from 1 species